rnacentral:rRNA from 1 species
UACGUAGGGGGCAAGCGUUGUCCGGAAUCAUUGGGCGUAAAGCGCGUGUAGGCGGCUAGAUAAGUCUGCUCUGAAAGCCCGGGGCUCAACCCCGGGAGGCGGGUGGAUACUGUCUAGCUCGAGUCCGGAAGAGGAGUGUGGAAUUCCUGGUGUAGCGGUGAAAUGCGUAGAUAUCGGUAGGAACACCAGUGGCGAAGGCGGUCUCCUGGGGCAUUCUUGACGCUGAGGCGCGAAAGCUGGGGGAGCGAACGGG